GUUUCCUAAGUGAUAUCUGAUGGAACAAUGGAGCACACCCCAGGGGCUUGGACCCCCAGCUCACACACGUUCCUCCCUCCUGCUGCCUCCCCUGGAUGGGUUCUCAGCUGCUCCCUCCCCACACACUGGCACCCCACGACUCAUGAUCUCCUCUACCCUCUGUCUGGGUGCAAAUGGAUGAGUCAGCCAGGAAGAUUCACAUCCCACUCCGUAGCGUCUAGAACAACGCCCGACAAAACCUUGCGCUCAAUAAGAAAUGUACUUUAAUGAAUGGAUGACUAUAAAAACAACCAGGAACUGCCCAACACUCCGGCAACGAAGGCCAAAUCUAUAAGAACUCCAGGGAUCAGGGGAGGCUGGUCCAUUAGUCAUCCCUAAAAGGACGUACAGCAUCACGUCAGAAAGAAAACUCCCCACCACGUCCUGCAAAUACCAUAGAUUUUUUUAUCAGCAUCGACAGAGGCCUUCAAAUACAAACACUUUUUCUACUUUAAAGCAGCCUUCAGCAUCCCAUUACAGAUCAUCACGUGGCUACACCUAACUUUAACAUGAUGACUUUCACAUCUAAGGUAAUACGACCGAUAUUAAACCAUGUCUUCUACCUUAAUCAACUCUCUUCUAUGAAUAGUCGUAGGCAUGAGAGCAGGAAUAACUUAAAAAGAAAUGGAUAAUAAUUUUAUUCCUUCCCCCACCCAGUGUACCCAGCAAACAGUACAACACUGACUGAUACUUUUCCUGUUUUCCUUCGCAAAAAAUACAUCUGCUUAAAAUGGGAGUCAGGGCUGCUGUUUCCUCCAGCCAUGUAACACAUUUAAGUGACGAGACGCCACAAAUCAUUGAAAUAUUGGCCAUACAUGUCUACCUUACAGUUCCCAAAGUGAGACUCCAGUGAACUUAUGUUACAGCUGCCCCGAAAAGAAAAAGGAAGCAAAAACAAGGUCAUCCAGGAUGACAGGCGGAAUUAAAGCAGAUGAAAGCCUUGCGUUACAGACGCGGGGAUAGUGAAAGGCAAGUCACUCCUUACCAGAAUGAAAGAACUAAAACUGCUCUGGAAGAAAGAGCCCGGGUACAAAGGCUUUCAGGGCUACUUGCACAGAUCCAAAACAUCUUGCCAGAAAAAUAUCAAGGAACUGUCCCCUUUGGAGCAGAAGCAAGACAGGACUGGCCAAGGCACCAACACCUGCCCCCCCCCUCCACACACUUUGUAUUAGGACCCCAAGAAAUUAAGACACGACGAGAUGGAUUCAGUUUCCAUUUUCAGUCACAGAAAAAGGAGCUGGAACGAUCUACUGGUCCCUGAAAUAAUAACAAUAAAAACACGCGUGCAC
rnacentral:lncRNA from 1 species